UUUUGUCGUGUUUGUUGUUUUCGUAGUAUGUAAAGUACAGGUACACACACUAUUACUAAAAUGCGAAAUAUUCCUCCAUAUUAGUGGACCUUUGGAUUGUCGUUGAGCUUCUUCUUUGAUCAGUUUCAAGAAUCAAUCAAGUUGUUGAAAGUAGUAUUUAUAUGAUUUUGAGGAUCUCGGAAAUAAAAAAAACUACAAUGGGAUGUCAUGUUCUGGUGUACUCCAUUUGCACAUUAGUUUGCUACACAUACGCUGUCUGCAGCAGUGCACCCAACUCUGAUGGAAAAUCAGACCACUUAAAGUCGAAUAUUGCGACGGCACAGCACUUCAGGAGUUCAAAAUCGUCAACAUGGUCAAACGCCAAAACCGGACUUCGUCUAACGGAUCUUGCGCAUACCGAGGAUGACGACAACGAAUACUUAAAUCACAUCAUCAAAGCACUAUCACUGAGCAGACGAAGGCGAGACAGCAGCGAGGAGUCGGAUGCUGAAUCUGAAGUCGAGUCCGAAUCGGAGUCAUCCACAUCAGAAUCCGGAUCCGAAGUGGAAUCCGAAAUGGAAUUGGAUUAUCCCCUGCCGCACCUAGGGGGUAACCUGACAAACGGAGCGAAUUCUAGAUAUAAGCAAAGUGGGACACUUUGGAGGGUAAACUGGGGACUGCUACCGGAAGCACUCAUAGCGACCUGCUUAGUACUACAUGGAUAUUGGAUGCCGUGCUGAAGACAUUUGUAAGAACUCAAGCACCAAAGCUUACCCCAAAUUGGCGUUACCACCGUGCCAUUGUGUAACAAUAAUCGGAAGUCAACCACCCCAACCUUCCAAAUGUCAGAACAACGUAAACACGUUAUGUGGUUAAUAACAUUAAUAGAAAACAACACUGGUCAAUAUGUUUGGAGAGUAGCAUCAUCAGGGCAAUGGCCUUUGCUACUCCCUCACAUCCACCUCAUCAUAAUGAAAUCAACUUCCUUUUAUAGAUGUAUGACAAUAUAUGUAUGUAUUGUUAUUUUUUUUUAAAUUUAAUGUUUGAUGUUCUUUUUAUAUUUACCCCCUGCAUACAUCGUAUUUUAAAAGAGAUGGGGACUAAAUGAAUUUCAAUUAAAGAAAAAAACAAAAAUAAUCAGAAAUAUGAAUGUUAGUACAGUAAUUUACCCUUUCUUAAAGUGAUUUUUUGAUGAGAGGGUUAGUAUUUUACUUCACCUGUUUCAUUAUCAUCUAAGGGAAUGCUUUUAAUGCUGAAAUAGUGAAUUAAGAAUCAUCGUCUUGGUUAUGUCUAUGUUUUUUUUUUUGGGGGAGGGGGUUGGAUGGGGGUCUUAUUUUGUGCAUCGUUGCCAUGGCGGUUGCUAUGGGCGUGAUUUUGAUAUUACGUCUCGUGAUCAUUCAUCUAUUUAAACAUUAUCCUUGUUCUGUCAACGUCAUUUCAAUGGGGUUUAACAUGGAAGUAAAGGUCAACACAAAUCUCUACUACGUUGAUGUAAAUAAAAUUGGAUCAAUAUCAAUGAGCAAUGACUGAUGACGUAUGAGACACGAACGACCUUUAGAAUGAUGUAUGUCUUAAAUGAUUAGUUACACCUCUUGGGUUAUUGAAAAGUUUAAUUAUGUUACGAUAUAUGGAGAUCUAAAACCGUUUAUAUAUUUUUUUUUUUUUACUUGAAUAAAAUAUUGAUAUCCAUGUGAUUUUUUUAGUUUGAUAGAAAUAACAUGCCGGGACCUUGCAUCACAAAGAGUUACGAUUGAUCCAAAUGUAUUGUACGUCCUCCACUUAGUCGCAAACUAACAAAGUCCUAUCUCUUUAGGACAGAAGUACGAUUGGUAUCGAGUUUCAAUCAAUCUAACUCAAUCGUAAUUGUUUACAAAGAGGGUCGAAGAAAUAAAAGUGUGGACAGUGAAGUAACUAUUCAUUAAACGGAUUUAAUUAUUAUUCAAUAUGUGUGUAUAUUUUUCCUCGUCCUCAGUCUUAAGUAAUUUACCUAAAACAUGAGUAGAAGCCAAUUUUGACUCAUAAUUAGCAAAACAGAAGUUAAUUGAUUUCCACCAUGACAUGAUCGCGAGCAAAAUUUAACCCAUAAUUAUAUUAUUUAUUAAAUUAAAGUGCAUUCUUGGGUUUUGUACUGCAACACUUAGUUCAACAUUGCAUAUCAUAAAUUAUAUCUCCAACUUCUUACAGAAGCUAAUUUUCAGCCAAGAAAAACAGUCAUUGGCGGUGUCAAAUACCAUACCACAUUAUAACAAGAGGCAAUUUUAGAGGCAUACCGUGUAUUUAUAUAUUAUAAAUGUCAGAUCUUAUUUAAGUCGGUUAACCUAUUUCAGAAGUAUAACCCCUCAUGCACAUAUUGGAGAAUGCUUUUAUAUUGUAUUUAUCUAAAGUGAACAAGUGACGAUUUAUACAACUUUUUUUUGUAGAAUUACAUUAAACGUACGAGUAACCAUGUUUAGAAUUCUCGUCAUUUAAAAUA
rnacentral:lncRNA from 1 species